CAGUCAUACCAACGGGAAAUCAACCUUUUGAGCUCGGUCUCGUGGGUUUUGAAGAGUUUCAAAGCCUUCGGAUUCGCGGGAUUGGGAUCUCUCGGUGUACUUUUUCGUACGGUUAGUCAACAUCGGUUUUGAAUGCCAUAAAAUGACUGGAGGAAUGUAGCUUCGAUCUCGUAUUGAAGUGUUAUAGCCUCUGGUAGAUGUGAUGUUUGAGACCGAGGAUUGCAACGGAUACCCUUCAGGGCUAUUCGUCUGAUCUCUGAUACGUUGCCCUGAUGUUGAAAGCUUGCUUAUGAUGUUAGGGUAUUACGGUCAAAAGGUUAGAACGAAUUACA
rnacentral:rRNA from 1 species